rnacentral:tRNA from 1 species
GCUCUUAAAGCUUUUACACUGAAGCGUUGGUUUUGUAAGCCAGAUAAGCAUUUAUUUGUUAAGAGCU